rnacentral:rRNA from 1 species
CCUACGGAGUGCUGCAGUGAGGAAUAUUGGUCAAUGGGCGCGAGCCUGAACCAGCCAAGUAGCGUGAAGGAUGAAUGCCCUACGGGUUGUAAACUUCUUUUAUAAAGGAAUAAAGUGAGGCACGUGUGCCUUUUUGUAUGUACUUUAUCAAUAAGGAUAGGCUACCUCGAUGCCAGCACCGGCGGUAAUACGGAGGAUCCGAGCGUUAUCCGGAUUUAUUGGGUUUAAAGGGAGCGUAGAUGGGUUGUUAAGUCAGUUGUGAAAGUUUGCGGCUCAACCGUAAAAUUGCAAUUGAUACUGGCAGCCUUGAGUACAGUUGAGGUAGGCGGAAUUCGUGGUGUAGCAGUGAAAUGCUUAGAUAUCACGAAGAACUCCGAUUGCGAAGGCAGCUUACUAAACUGCCACUGACAUUGAUGCUCGAAAGUGUGGGUAUCAAACAGGAUUAGAUACCCGGGUAGUC